rnacentral:rRNA from 1 species
AGUAAGACACCUUGGAGAAGACGAGGUUGAUAGGUCGGGAGUGUAAGUACAGUAAUGUAUUCAGCGGACCGAUACUAAUAUGUCGAGGGCUUGACUUAA